rnacentral:piRNA from 1 species
UAGUUGUCGUGCAACAUAAAAUGUUCCU